rnacentral:rRNA from 1 species
UACGAAGGGGGCUAGCGUUGUUCGGAAUUACUGGGCGUAAAGGGCGCGUAGGCGGCUGUGCAAGUCAGGUGUGAAAGCCCUGGGCUCAACCAGGAUGUGCACUUGAUACUGCACGGCUAGAGUGUCGGAGAGGAUGGUGGAAAUUCCCAGUGUAGAGGUGAAAUUCGUAGAUAUUGGGAAGAACACCGGUGGCGAAGGCGACCAUCUGGACGACAACUGACGCUGAGGCGCGAAAGCGUGGGGAGCAAACAGG